AUUUCAACAUUGCAAUGAGUGGCGAACGGGUGAGUAACACGUGGGAAACCUACCUCUUAGCAGGGGAUAACAUUUGGAAAACAAAUGCUAAUACCGUAUAAUAAUUAAAACCGCAUGGUUUAAGUUUAAAAGAUGGUCUUGCUAUCACUAAGAGAUGGUCCCGCGGUGUAUUAGUUAGUUGGUGAGGUAAUGGCUCACCAAGACAAUGAUACAUAGCCGAGUUGAGAGACUGACCGGCCACAAUGGGACUGAGACACGGCCCAUACUCCUACGGGAGGCAGCAGUAGGGAAUCUUCCACAAUGGACGAAAGUCUGAUGGAGCAACGCCGCGUGUGUGAUGAAGGGUUUCGGCUCGUAAAACACUGUUGUAAGAGAAGAAUGACAUUGAGAGUAACUGUUCAAUGUGUGACGGUAUCUUACCAGAAAGGAACGGCUAAAUACGUG
rnacentral:rRNA from 1 species